AGUCGAACGGUGUCUUCGGACAUAGUGGCGGACGGGUGAGUAACGCGUGAGAAUCUGGCCUUGGGUUCGGGACAACCACUGGAAACGGUGGCUAAUACCGGAUGUGCCGAAAGGUGAAAGAUUAAUUGCCUGAGGAUGAGCUCGCGUCUGAUUAGCUAGUUGGUGGGGUAAAGGCCUACCAAGGCGGCGAUCAGUAGCUGGUCUGAGAGGACGAUCAGCCACACUGGGACUGAGACACGGCCCAGACUCCUACGGGAGGCAGCAGUGGGGAAUUUUCCGCAAUGGGCGAAAGCCUGACGGAGCAAUACCGCGUGAGGGAGGAAGGCUCUUGGGUUGUAAACCUCUUUUCUCAGGGAAGAACAAAAUGACGGUACCUGAGGAAUAAGCAUCGGCUAACUCCGUGCCAGCAGCCGCGGUAAUACGGAGGAUGCAAGCGUUAUCCGGAAUGAUUGGGCGUAAAGCGUCCGCAGGUGGCAUUGCAAGUCUGCUGUCAAAGGCCAGGGCUCAACCCUGAAAAGGCAGUGGAAACUGAAAUGCUGGAGUGCGGUAGGGGUAGAGGGAAUUCCCGGUGUAGCGGUGAAAUGCGUAGAGAUCGGGAAGAACACCAGUGGCGAAGGCGCUCUACUAGGCCGCAACUGACACUCAUGGACGAAAGCUAGGGGAGCGAAUGGGAUUAGAUACCCCAGUAGUCCUAGCUGUAAACGAUGGAUACUAGGCGUUGAGAGUAUCGACCCUCUCAGUGUCGUAGCUAACGCGUUAAGUAUCCCGCCUGGGGAGUACGCGCGCAAGCGUGAAACUCAAAGGAAUUGACGGGGGCCCGCACAAGCGGUGGAGUAUGUGGUUUAAUUCGAUGCAACGCGAAGAACCUUACCAGGGCUUGACAUGUC
rnacentral:rRNA from 1 species